UACGAAGGGGGCUAGCGUUGUUCGGAAUCACUGGGCGUAAAGCGCACGUAGGCGGAUCUUUAAGUCAGAGGUGAAAUCCCAAGGCUCAACCUUGGAACUGCCUUUGAUACUGGGGAUCUUGAGUCCGGGAGAGGUGAGUGGAACUGCGAGUGUAGAGGUGAAAUUCGUAGAUAUUCGCAAGAACACCAGUGGCGAAGGCGGCUCACUGGCCCGAUACUGACGCUGAGGCACGAAAGCGUGGGGAGCAAACAGG
rnacentral:rRNA from 1 species